ensembl:ncRNA H28G03.9 ncRNA
UUUUGGCGGGAAAUUUAAAUUUUCUGAGAAAAAUAUUUUGGCGGGAAAUUCAAAUUUUCUGAGAAAAAUAUUUGGCGGGAAAUUAAAGUUUUCUGAUUCUAAAAUUCUGGAAAUCUAGAAUCUUCUGGAAAUUUCGAAAAAACUCUGGA